rnacentral:rRNA from 1 species
GUGAAGCGGUAACAGCUCAAAUUUGAAAUCUGGGUCUUUCAGGCUCCGAGUUGUAAUUUGUAGAAGAUGCUUUGGGUGCGGCCCCGGUCUAAGUUCCUUGGAACAGGACGUCAUAGAGGGUGAGAAUCCCGUAUGUGAUCGGUGGCUUGCGCCCGUGUAAAGCUCUUUCGACGAGUCGGGUUGUUUGGGAAUGCAGCUCUAAAUGGGUGGUAAAUUUCAUCUAAAGCUAAAUAUUGGCCAGAGACCGAUAGCGCACAAGUAGAGUGAUCGAAAGAUGAAAAGGACUUUGGAAAGAGAGUUAAACAGUACGUGAAAUUGUUGAAAGGGAAGCGCUUGCAACCAGACUUGCGCGGGGUUGAUCAUCCGGGGUUCUCCCCGGUGCACUCGGCCUCGCUCAGGCCAGCAUCGGUUUCGGUGGUUGGAUAAAGGCCUUGGGAAUGUGACUUCUUUCGGGGAGUGUUAUAGCCCUCGGUGCAAUGCAGCCUACCGGGACCGAGGACCGCGCUUCGGCUAGGAUGCUGGCGUAAUGGUUGUAAGCGACCCGUCUUGAAACACGGACCAAGGAGUCUAACAUCUAUGCGAGUGUUUGGGUGUCAAACCCAUACGCGUAAUGAAAGUGAACGGAGGUGAGAACCCUUAAGGGUGCAUCAUCGACCGAUCCUGAUGUCUUCGGAUGGAUUUGAGUAAGAGCAUAGCUGUUGGGACCCGAAAGAUGGUGAACUAUGCCUGAAUAGGGUGAAGCCAGAGGAAACUCUGGUGGAGGCUCGCAGCGGUUCUGACGUGCAAAUCGAUCGUCAAAUUUGGGCAUAGGGGCGA